rnacentral:rRNA from 1 species
AGGGAAUCUUCGGCAAUGGACGAAAGCCUGACGCAGCGACGCCGCGUGAGGGAUGAAGGUUUUCGGAUCGUAAACCUCUGUCAGAAUGGAAGAAACUACGUUGUGCUAAUCAGCAGCGUACUGACGGUACCUUCAAAGGAAGCACCGGCUAACUCCGUGCCAGCAGCCGCGGUACUACGGAGGGUGCAAGCGUUAAUCGGAAUUACUGGGCGUAAAGCGCACGUAGGCUGUAGUGUAAGUCAGGGGUGAAAUCCCACGGCUCAACCGUGGAACUGCCUUUGAUACUGCACAACUUGAAUCCGGGAGAGGGUGGCGGAAUUCCAGGUGUAGGAGUGAAAUCCGUAGAUAUCUGGAGGAACAUCAGUGGCGAAGGCGGCCACCUGGACCGGUAUUGACGCUGAGGUGCGAAAGCGUGGGGAGCAAAC